rnacentral:lncRNA from 1 species
AAAGCCCUUAAAUCAUGAAGAAAGAAGAUUUUUGUGAAUUAGUUUUCGAGACACUCUCUCUUUUAUUUUCAGCCUCCUGCAGGACAAAUUCCAUUGCAAGUGACUCUCCUAUCCCUUCAGCUAGAAUCUGUGGCAAAUUGAACAGCAUUUCCCAAAGACUUGGAUCAAGUACAACACAAAGCCUGCUUUCUUUGAAAAGACAAGCGGGAAGGUUAUGGUUAACCAGGUCGCCUUGGAGGAGAGACCUCAGAUCCCAGGAGAUCACAUCAUCUCUGCAAGCUUUUUACUAUCCCCUCUGGCAAUCUGGCACCUCACAGAAAAUGUACCAACCCCUCCCUCGAUGCCUCGACUAGAUUCUUAAACAGUUAUAUUCCAUUUCCGUGUCGCAUGUCUCUAGGAAUUGUGCGUGAGCCUUUAGUAAUGAGAACAGUAAUCCAUAGUUUAUCCAUUUUGACAAAUAAAGAAGGCCAGUGUCCUGAUGUCUUUAAAAGA